rnacentral:rRNA from 1 species
UACGAAGGGGGCUAGCGUUGCUCGGAAUUACUGGGCGUAAAGCGCACGUAGGCGGACUCUUAAGUCGGUGGUGAAAUCCUGGAGCUCAACUCCAGAACUGCCUUCGAUACUGGGAGUCUUGAGUCCGGGAGAGGUGAGUGGAACUGCGAGUGUAGAGGUGAAAUUCGUAGAUAUUCGCAAGAACACCAGUGGCGAAGGCGGCUCACUGGCCCGGUACUGACGCUCAUGCACGAAAGCGUGGGGAGCAAACAGG